rnacentral:rRNA from 1 species
AUUGAACGCUGGCGGCAGGCCUAACACAUGCAAGUCGGGCGAGUGGCGGACGGGUGAGUAAUGUAUGGGGAACUGCCUGAUGGAGGGGGAUAACUACUGGAAACGGUAGCUAAUACCGCAUACCAUCAGAUGAACCCAUAUGGGAUUAGCUAGUCGGUAAGGUAACGGCUCACCUAGGCGACGAUCCCUAGCUGGUCUGAGAGGAUGACCAGCCACACUGGAACUGAGACACGGCCCAGACUCCUACGUGAGGCAGCAGUGGGGAAUAUUGCACAAGGGGCGCAAGCCUGAUGCAGCCAUGCCGCGUGUAUGAAGAAGGCCUUCGGGUUGUAAAGUACUUUCAGUGGGGAGGCGUUACCCGCAGAAGAAGCACCGGCUAACUCCGUGCCAGCAGCCGCGGUAAUAC